GACGAACGCUGGCGGCGUGCUUAACACAUGCAAGUCGAACGGAAAGGCCCUGCUUUUGUGGGGUGCUCGAGUGGCGAACGUGUGAGUAACACGUGAGUCACCUGCCCUGGACUUUGGGAUAACUUCAGGAAACUGGGGCUAAUACCGGAUAGGAGCUCCUGCUGCAUGGUGGGGGUUGGAAAUUUUCGGCGGUUAGGGAUGGAAUCCCGGCUUAUCAGCUUGUUGGUGGGGUAGUGGCUUACCAAGGCCUUGACGGGUAGCCGGCCUGAGAGGGUGACCGGCCCCAUUGGGACUGAGAUACGGCCCAGACUCCUACGGGAGGCAGCAGUGGGGAAUAUUGCACAAUGGGCGGAAGCCUGAUGCAGCAACGCCGCGUGCGGGAUGACGGCCUUCGGGUUGUAAACCGCUUUCGCCUGUGACGAAGCGUGAGUGACGGUAAUGGGUAAAGAAGCACCGGCUAACUACGUG
rnacentral:rRNA from 1 species